UGACGCGACCUCAGCUCA
rnacentral:rRNA from 1 species